AAGUCGUAACAAGGUUUCCGUAGGUGAACCUGCGGAAGGAUCAUUAUUGUAGGGACUCCGGUCCCCUCAAGAUGCAACCCGUGCCUUUUUUGUAGCCCGUAACGUUUCCUCGGCAGCCCCGCUGCCAGCGAGGACCCCCCCAAACCAAACCUGCAAUCUCAGUAAAAAAAUUCAGAAACCCCCCAAAAUUUAAAACUUUCAACAAUGGAUCUCUUGGCUCUG
rnacentral:misc_RNA from 1 species